CCCUUAGAUGUUCUGGGCUGCACACGUGCUACACUGGCAGGUUCAGCGAGCUUCAUGCCCUGAUCUGAAAGGAAUGGGAAAUCUUUUCAAAACCUGCCGUGCUUGGGAUAGAUGUUUGCAAUUAUUCAUCUUCAACGAGGAUUGCCUUGUAAGCGCACGUCAUCAGCGUUCAUUGAAUACGACCCUGUAUUCUGUACACACCGCCCGUCGCUCCUACCGAUUGAAGUUUUCGGUGAGUUGACAGGAGGAUUUUUUUGAAACUGGUUCGCCAGUGGAUUUUAGAUCCAAAUGCCAACGAAUCGAUGGCUUUAGAGGAAGGAGAAGUCGUAACA
rnacentral:rRNA from 1 species